AGCAGCCGCGGUAAUUCCAGCUCCAAUAGCGUAUAUUAAAGUUGUUGCAGUUAAAGAGCUCGUAGUUGAAUUUCGGGAUUGGCGUAUCGGUCGUGCCUCACGGGGUAUGAACUGGUGCAGUCAAUCUCUCACCUUCUGGAGAACCGCGAUGUCCUUAAUUGGAUGCCGUGGGGAACCAGGACCUUUACUUUGAAAAAUUGAGUGUUUAAAGCAGGCAUUUUUGCUUGAAUACAUUAGCAUGGGAUAAUAAAAUAGGACGGCAUGGUUCUAUUUUGUUGGUUUCUAGGACCACCGUAAUGAUUAAUAGGGAUAGUUGGGGGCAUUAGUAUUCAAUUGUCAGAGGUGAAAUUCUUGGAUUUAUUGAAGACUAACUGCUGCGAAAGCAUUUGCCAAGGAUGUUUUCAUUAAUCAAGAACGAAAGUUAGGGGAUCGAAGACGAUCAGAUACCGUCGUAGUCUUAACCAUAAACUAUGCCGACUAGGAAUCAGACGAUGUUAAUUUUUUAAUGUACUCGUUUGGU
rnacentral:misc_RNA from 1 species